rnacentral:misc_RNA from 1 species
GCCAUCUUAAGAGCCAGCUCAAGUGUACAAAGAACAUGAUUAAUCCUUGACUAACAAUGGCACAUGCACAUGUCUGAUCUAGUUUUAUGUAGUGUUAGCAGUUUAAGAAGACUUAACAUUCUAAACAUGAAAUCCCUUACUGAACUUGCAAAUACAAAGUUCCUGUGAAUAUGCUAUUCCAUGGUGGUGGCUGGUUAGCGCAACUGCUUAGGAUUCCUAAUUCCAACUCUUCCACAGUUCAUUCCAUCAAUAACUUAAAUCCCCCUUUGAUUUGCUUUGUUUCUAUAGAAGUAAAUCAUCAGCACAACUUUGAGGAUGAGGCUGAAGGAAGCAUAAUUUCGGUAGUUUUCUCUUCUCCCUGGCACUAGUCAUCGAACAAGGUAUCUAAAAGAUUUGAAGGAGAUUCCUCUUUUCCAGCAUCUUCAAAGAACCCAUUUGAAAGAUUUUCCCUCUUCAGUCUUCGCUCCUCAGCAACAGAUUCAGAUGAUUCCAUGCAGUAAUUUUUCUUUGCCUGUUUGAAAUGUCUUUCAGCCACAAUGAACUUGUUCCCUUCACGUGUUCUCUCGGAGAAUCCAGCCCAAACUCCAAAUUGAUGUAGAACAAUGGAAGCAGCAACAGUCACAUUCAAUGAAGCAGUACCACACCCAUAUUGUGGAAUAUAUACAAAGAAAUCACAUAUCUCACACUCUUUUGCAGAAAGUCCAGUACCCUCAUUGCCCAGCAGGAAAGCAGUACUUCUCUUAAAAGGAUGUUCAUUUACAGCAACCGCAUUUUCUGUAAUUUCAACUCCACAUAUAUCACAAUCUCUUUCCUUGAGGAAGGUUUUAGCAUCGGCAAGGGAGUGGAAGUGGCGGAAACGGACGUGAGAAGUGGAGCCGUGGCUACCGAAAGCGUUGAAAUCUCUACGGCCGACGAGUAUCAUCUCCGAGACGCCGAACGCCGUGGCGCUACGAGCUAAGGUUCCGACGUUGUGUCUCUUUGCUAUAUUAUGUACCAGCACGAAGCUCUCUAGUUUCUUCUCAUUUUCCAUCUCUUCCCUAUAUUACCGCUGGAAAAACACCACCAACUGAGCUGGCUGCUGCCCGUUGCCGCCGUGCUCGGCUGAAUGAGAAGUCUUUGACGGCG